GUUGAGGUCUAUCCCGAUGGGGCUUUUUCCGUAGACCUGCAUCGUUGGAAACGCCUCAUAGAGUAAUAUGUUGCUUCCUUUAUUCACAGAACUAUGUGUUAGAUCUGUGGGAAGGAACUACAAGACAUAG